rnacentral:rRNA from 1 species
UACGUAGGGGGCAAGCGUUGUCCGGAAUCAUUGGGCGUAAAGCGCGUGUAGGCGGUUCGAUAAGUCUGCUGUGAAAGUCCAGGGCUCAACCCUGGGAUGCCGGUGGAUACUGUCGGGCUAGAGUGCGGAAGAGGCGAGUGGAAUUCCUGGUGGAGCGGUGAAAUGCGCAGAUAUCAGGAGGAACACCCGUAGCGAAGGCGGCACUCUGGGCCGAUACUGACACUGAGGAGCGAAAGCGUGGGGAGCGAACAGG